UGGGGAAUUUUGCACAAUGGAGGAAACUCUGAUGCAGCGACGCCGCGUGAGUGAUGAAGAUCUUCGGAUUGUAAAACUCUGUUCUUAGUGAAGAUAAUGACAGUAACUACGAAGCAAGCCCUGGCUAAAUACGUGCCUGCAGCCGCGGUAAUACGUAUGGGGCAAGCGUCGUCCGGAAUUAUUGGGCGUAAAGGGUACGUAGGCGGUUUAAUAAGUCCUAAUUAAAAGGCUAUGGCUCAACCAUAGUAUGGUUAGGAAACUGUUGAACUUGAGUAGAUGAGGGGAAAGUGGAAUUCCAUGUGUAGCGGUGAAAUGCGUAGAUAUAUGGAGGAACACCAAUGGCGAAGGCGACUUUCUAGAAUCAAACUGACGCUGAGGUACGAAGGCGUGGGGAGCAAACAGG
rnacentral:rRNA from 1 species